GACGAACGCUGGCGGCGUGCUUAACACAUGCAAGUCGAACGGAAAGGCCCCUUUGGUGGUACUCGAGUGGCGAACGGGUGAGUAACACGUGAGUAACCUGCCCUUGACUUCGGGAUAACUUCAGGAAACUGGGGCUAAUACCGGAUAGGAAUCCUUGCUGUAUGGUGGGGGUUGGAAAGCUUCGGCGGUUUUGGAUGGACUCGCGGCUUAUCAGCUUGUUGGUGGGGUAGUGGCUUACCAAGGCUUUGACGGGUAGCCGGCCUGAGAGGGCGACCGGCCACAUUGGGACUGAGAUACGGCCCAGACUCCUACGGGAGGCAGCAGGGGGGAAUAUUGCACAAUGGGCGGAAGCCUGAUGCAGCAACGCCGCGGGCGGGAUGACGGCCUUAGGGUUGUAAACCGCUUUCAGCAGGGGCGAAGCUUGUGGUGACGGUACCUGCAGAAGAAGCACCGGCUAACUACGUG
rnacentral:rRNA from 1 species